rnacentral:rRNA from 1 species
GACGGAGGAUGCAAGUGUUAUCCGGAAUCACUGGGCGUAAAGCGUCUGUAGGUGGUUCGAAAAGUCCACUGUUAAAAAUUGAAGCUUAACUUCAAAGGUGCCGUAGAAACUUUUAAACUUGAGGAUGGUAGGGGUAGAGGGAAUUUCCAGUGGAGCGGUGAAAUGCGUAGAUCUUGGAAAGACCACCAAUGGCGAAGGCACUCUACUGGGCCAUGACUGACACUGAGAGACGAAAGCUAGGGGAGCAAAUGGG